UGGCGCACGGGUGAGUAACACGUGGAUAAUCUGCCCGAUGACCUGGGAUAACACUUCGAAAGAGGUGCUAAUACCGGAUAAGCCCACAGGCUCUUCGGAGCAUGCGGGAAAGGGUGGGGACCUUCGGGCCUACCGUCAUCGGAUGAGUCCGCGGCCCAUUAGCUAGUUGGUGGGGUAACGGCCCACCAAGGCGACGAUGGGUAGCUGGUCUGAGAGGAUGAUCAGCCACACUGGAACUGAGACACGGUCCAGACUCCUACGGGAGGCAGCAGUGGGGAAUUUUGCGCAAUGGGGGAAACCCUGACGCAGCAACGCCGCGUGAGUGAUGAAGGCUUUCGGGUCGUAAAGCUCUGUCAGAGGGGAAGAAACUAUCGUGGUCGAAUAGGCCCCGGUACUGACGGUACCCUCAAAGGAAGCACCGGCUAACUCCGUGCCAGCAGCCGCGGUAAUACGGAGGGUGCAAGCGUUGUUCGGAAUUAUUGGGCGUAAAGCGCGUGUAGGCGGUCUGUUAAGUCUGAUGUGAAAGCCCCGGGCUCAACCCGGGAAGUGCAUUGGAUACUGGCAGACUUGAGUACGGGAGAGGAAAGUGGAAUUCCGAGUGUAGGGGUGAAAUCCGUAGAUAUUCGGAGGAACACCGGUGGCGAAGG
rnacentral:rRNA from 1 species